rnacentral:lncRNA from 1 species
CGGAGUUGUGCCGCCUAACUGAGAGGCCCCUGCUCUGCAACCCCGGACUGAGUCAAGUGUUCCUGUUCCCAUGUCUCGUGUUUCCCGUGUCCCCGAGUCCAGUGUUCUGGUGUUCCCUAGUCUCCUGUGUUAUGUGGCCUUGUGGGCGUCUGGUAUCCACCCCUUGGGGGGUGGGGUGGGGGUGGGGGUACUGUCACGAUCUGCCCCUGCCUUCCUGACUGUGUCUCUCUCCUGCCCUGAUUAGUCCUUAUUGUUCUCACCUGCCACUCUUUAACCUGCUCAUGUGUUCCCAAUUUUCCCUGUGUAUUUAUACCUCCCUCCUUGUACCAGUCUUCGUCGGAUCAUUGUAUGUGCAUGUGCUUGUUUUGUCCUGUCGCUCCCGUUCCACCAUUAAAACCAUUUUUAUUUUUCAUCCGUGCCAUCUCUGGUGUCUCCUGAACUCUCCACCAUACAUGGUCUACCAUCUCCACUCCUCCCAACAUGACACCACCAAGUCAUGUCAUUUGCAAUUUAAAGGUCUGUUUUUUAGAUUUAACUUGGAGCUUUGUCAAAACAAACAGUGGAAACUAGGCAUUGGUGACACCUCCCCAACGGUAGGAUGAACACAUUAAUCUAAACCUUGGAUAAAACUCACAAGGCUAUUUGAGCAAUUAAUUUUAUGAAACAAAUCCAUGUAAUCUUCUACCAGUGCCGUUUUAAACUCCACCUCCAGGUGCAAAGGCGGGAGAUUGCUUAAUGUAUGACAUUUCUCAAUAUUUCGCUUCCAGUUACUGCAUAUAUAAGGAAAUCCCACCAUUCAGAGCUACAAAACAACAAUCCACCUGUAGGGAAGUCUGAAGCUGUGAAGGCCAAACGGUGAAAUCAUGCUGAAGGUUGCAUUUAUUCUUGGAUGCCUCCUGAGCCUCACUGUGGUUCAAUCUGCGGAGCCUCAGCGAUUAGGCCGCUCUGACUCCAACUCUGGUUCCAACUCCCAUGAGGCUCGUUUGGGAAAUGCAGCAGCAGCGAGGCAGAAGUUCCUUCUGCAACUCAUCCAGCUCAUUCAAAGGUUAAAAUUAACUACAACUACAGCAACAACUACAACCCCAGCUGCCACAACUACAACCCCAGCUGCCACAACUACAACAGCUGCCACAACUACAACAGCUGCCACAACUACAACAGCUGCAACAACUACAACAACUACAACAGCUGCGACGACUACCACUGCAGCUGCAACUACAACCUCAACUGCAACCAUUGUCACCACCCCUGGAGCUGGGGGAAAGUAA